rnacentral:rRNA from 1 species
GGGGGAAAAAUUAAUAAGUAUAAUAAAAAUAAAAGAAAUUUUUAAGUUAAAAAUAAAAUAAUGGGGGUUAAAUUAUUUUUAAUAAAAAAAAUUUAUUAUUUUAUAGAUUAUUAGUAUUUUAUAAGAAAUUUGAAAUAAAAUUAAAAAUUUAAUUUAAAAAAAAAAGAAAAUUUAAUUUAUUGUAUCUUGUGUAUCAGAGUUUAUUAAAAAUUAAUUUUAGAAAAAAAAUGUUCUCGAAUUUAAAAGAGCUAAUUAAUUAAAAAAGUUAAUAUAGUAUAAUUAUUUUAAAUAAUUAAUUAGAAAUGAAAUGUUAUUCGUUUUUAAAUAUAUCUAGUUAUUUUAGAAAAAAAUUUAAUUUUAAAUUUAUUUUUUUUUUAAUUUAUUUAAUAAAAUUAAAAAAAAAAUUAAAUUUUAUAUUUUAAGGGAUAAGCUUUAAAUUAAAAAUUUAUAAUUUUAAAUUAAAAAUUAAAAUUUUUAAGAUUUAUAUUGUUUAAAAAUUAAAAUUUAUUAUAAAAAAUUUUAAUUAAAGAUAAGAUUUAAUAAAAUAAAUAUUUAAUUUUAUAUAAAAUAAAAAUUUUUAGUGGGGGAAAAUUUGUUAUAAUGAUAAAAUUAGUAUAAUAUUGAAAUUAUAUGAAAUAAAUUAAUUUAAAAUUAAUUAAAAAGAAUUCGGCAAAAAUAAAUAUUCACUUGUUUAACAAAAACAUGUCUUUUUGAUAAUAAUAUAAAGUCUAAUCUGCCCACUGAUAAAUAUUAAAGGGCUGCAGUAUAUUGACUGUACAAAGGUAGCAUAAUCAAUAGUUUUUUAAUUGAAAACUUGAAUGAAAGAUUUAAUGAAAUAUUAACUGUUUCUUAAUUAUUAUUAAAAUUUUAUUUUUUAGUAAAAAAGCUAAAAUAAAUUUAAAAGACGAGAAGACCCUAUAGAGUUUUAUAUUUAUUAAAAUUUUUAAUUUUAUUUAUAAAUUUAUAUUAAAAAUAAAAUAAAUAUUAUAUUGGGGUGAUAAAAAAAUUAAUUUAACUUUUUUUAAUAAAUAAACAUUAAUAAAUGAAUAAAUGAUCCAUAAUUAAUGAUUAAAAGAAAAAAUUACCUUAGGGAUAACAGCGUAAUAUUUUUUUUUAGUUCAUAUAAGAAAAAAAGUUUGCGACCUCGAUGUUGGAUUAAGAUAAAAUUUAAAUGCAAAAGUUUAAAAUUUUUGAUCUGUUCGAUCAUUAAAAUCUUACAUGAUCUGAGUUCAAACCGGUGUAAGCCAGGUUGGUUUCUAUCUUUAAAUAAAUAAUAUAUUUUAGUACGAAAGGAUCAAAUAUAAAAAAUAAUUUUAUUAAGAAGAAUAUUAGUAAAUAUAUAUAUAUAUUUAUUAUUGUAGAUAAAUAAUUAU